AUACAUGAGCAAAAUCUCAACUUUAUUAGAAGAGACGCAUUUAUUAGAUAAAAAGCCAAUGCAUGCUUUUACAGUAUGGAAAUUGGUGAUUUAUAAUAACUUGGCAAAUCGCAAAGUGAAAACAGGCGAUAAGUCAUUCAAGUUUCUGACCUAUUAGCUUUCGACGGUAUGGUAUUGGCUACCGUGGCAGUGACGGUUAACGGGGGAUUAGGGUUCGAUUCCGGAGAGGGAGCCUGAGAAACGGCUACCACAUCUAAGGAAGGCAGCAGGCGCGCAAAUUACCCAAUUCUAACAGUUUGAGAGAGGUAGUAACAAGAAAUAACAAUACAAGGCAAUUAAAAUGUUUUGUAAUUGGAAUGAUAGAAAUUUAAACCCUUUUUAAAGUAUCAAUUGGAGGGCAAGUCUGGUGCCAGCAGCCGCGGUAAUUCCAGCUCCAAUAGCGUAUAUUAAAAUUGUUGCAGUUAAAAAGCUCGUAGUUGAAGUUCUGCUAAAAGUAACCGGUCUGCUUUUAAUAAAAGUGGUAUCUUGGUGUGUAUUUAGCAAUGAUGUCCUUUGAAGUGUUUUUUACUUUAUUGUAAUAAAGCAUAUUCAGGACUUUUACUUUGAGAAAAUUAGAGUGUUUCUAGCAGGCCGACGCUUUGAAUACUGCAGCAUGGAAUAAUAAG
rnacentral:rRNA from 1 species